GAUGAACGCUGGCGGCGUGCCUAACACAUGCAAGUCGAGCGGCAGCGAGGGGUGCUUGCACCCUGUCGGCGAGCGGCGGACGGCUGAGUAACGCGUGGGAACGUGCCCCAAAGUGAGGAAUAACUGCCCGAAAGGGUAGCUAAUACCGCAUAUUAUCUUCGGAUCAAAGGAUUUAUCCGCUUUGGGAGCGGCUCGCGUCGGAUUAGGUAGUUGGUGAGGUAAUGGCUCACCAAGCCGACGAUCCGUAGCUGGUCUGAGAGGAUGACCAGCCAGACUGGAACUGAGACACGGUCCAGACUCCUACGGGAGGCAGCAGUGAGGAAUCUUCCACAAUGGGCGAAAGCCUGAUGGAGCAACGCCGCGUGCAGGACGAAGGCCUUCGGGUUGUAAACUGCUUUUAUAAGUGAGGAAUAUGACGGUAACUUAUGAAUAAAGAUCGGCUAACUACGUG
rnacentral:rRNA from 1 species